AUUGAACGCUGGCGGCAGGCCUAACACAUGCGAGUCGAGCGGAUGAAGGGAGCUUGCUCCUGGAUUCAGCGGCGGACGGGUGAGUAAUGCCUAGGAAUCUGCCUGGUAGUGGGGGAUAACGUCCGGAAACGGGCGCUAAUACCGCAUACGUCCUGAGGGAGAAAGUGGGGGAUCUUCGGACCUCACGCUAUCAGAUGAGCCUAGGUCGGAUUAGCUAGUUGGUGGGGUAAAGGCCUACCAAGGCGACGAUCCGUAACUGGUCUGAGAGGAUGAUCAGUCACACUGGAACUGAGACACGGUCCAGACUCCUACGGGAGGCAGCAGUGGGGAAUAUUGGACAAUGGGCGAAAUCCUGAUCCAGCCAUGCCGCGUGUGUGAAGAAGGUCUUCGGAUUGUAAAGCACUUUAAGUUGGGAGGAAGGGCAGUAAGUUAAUACCUUGCUGUUUUGACGUUACCAACAGAAUAAGCACCGGCUAACUUCGUG
rnacentral:rRNA from 1 species